rnacentral:rRNA from 1 species
AGUGAACGCUGGCGGUAGGCCUAACACAUGCAAGUCGAACGGCAGCACAGUAAGAGCUUGCUCUUACGGGUGGCGAGUGGCGGACGGGUGAGGAAUACAUCGGAAUCUACUUUUUCGUGGGGGAUAACGUAGGGAAACUUACGCUAAUACCGCAUACCACCUACGGGUGAAAGCAGGGGAUCUUCGGACCUUGCGCGAUUGAAUGAGCCGAUGUCGGAUUAGCUAGUUGGCGGGGUAAAGGCCCACCAAGGCGACGAUCCGUAGCUGGUCUGAGAGGAUGAUGAGCCACACUGGAACUGAGACACGGUCCAGACUCCUACGGGAGGCAGCAGUGGGGAAUAUUGGACAAUGGGCGCAAGCCUGAUCCAGCCAUACCGCGUGGGUGAAGAAGGCCUUCGGGUUGUAAAGCCCUUUUGUUGGGAAAGAAAAGCAGCAGGUUAAUACCCCGCUGUUCUGACGGUACCCAAAGAAUAAGCACCGGCUAACUUCGUG